rnacentral:rRNA from 1 species
AUUGAACGCUGGCGGCAGGCUUAACACAUGCAAGUCGAGCGAGCGGCGGACGGGUGAGUAAUGUCUGGGAAACUGCCUGAUGGAGGGGGAUAACUACUGGAAACGGUAGCUAAUACCGCAUACCAUCAGAUGUGCCCAGAUGGGAUUAGCUAGUAGGUGGGGUAAUGGCUCACCUAGGCGACGCUGCCUAGCUGGUCUGAGAGGAUGACCAGCCACACUGGAACAGAGACACGGUCCAGACGCCUACGGGAGGCAGCAGUGGGGAAUAUUGGACAAUGGGAGAAAGCCUGAUACAGCCAUGCCGCGUGUAUGAAGAAGGCCUUCGGGUUGUAAAGUACUUUCAGCGAGGAGGCGUUACGCGCAGAAGAAGCACCGGCUAACUCCGUGCCAGCAGCCGCGGUAAUAC